rnacentral:lncRNA from 12 species
UACUUGGAGCCAGCUAACCAGGUCCCCCAGCGAUGGGGCCUGGAGGGUAGGAGGGUAGUUCUUCAGGGUCCAGACUUGAAUGGAUGGCUUUGUUAUCCUGUUUUUGUGUUCAUCGGUGUCUUAGCACAAGUUGAGCUAGCACAGGAGAAAUCAGCAGAAACCUUCAUCCUCAUUUGCUUAGAGAACCCAUUUCACCCCAUUCGGGAAUCGCUCGACUUCACUGUGGAAUUAAUUCUAAGGAUGGUGAAUGGAAAUGAAAAGUGCAUGGUUAUGAUUGCUGCCAAAGAAUGUCGGCUCGCCCUCCAUCAGGGCCCGAGAGACAGUGUUUCUCUGCUGGCCCAGUGUGUGAACCCUGGGUUGGUGCCCUGUUCCAGAUGGGAAGGCACGAUCAGAAAGUUCCCUGAUACUACAGAAGGACAUACCUGGACAGAGAGAAACUAAAUAACCUUCCCAUGAUUGUUGAAUGAGGUGUAGAAAAAUCUGGAAAGAGCAUUUUCUGCCUUGGCCUCUUCUUUGCUCCUUUACCUCCUCAGCUGUGUCUAACUCAACUAGAAGACCAAUAUAAACUGAACUGUCAUAUGGUGCUCUUUCUAAAGUGGCAUGGUAGGUUUCUUAAUAUUUGGGCUUAUUUUUAAGGUAGACACCUCACAUUUUCACAUAGGUGGAAGUUAAUGCUAUCUUUAUCUCAUAAAAAAUGGAAACAGACUCAGAGACUUUUCUUGUUU